rnacentral:ribozyme from 1 species
CACCCUCCUUGCACCAGAGGAGGUCUAUCAGAAGCCAAAGAGGGAGGUCAAGAGCGGAACCGAGAUCACUUCCGAAGAAAGGAAACGGAAUCGUGCGAACAAGAAGCGUGGCCGAAAGGUCGAAAAGCGGAAGGAAGAGGCGGAUCGCAAGAUUGUGGAAAAGCUCAAUCCUGGUCAGGGCAAUCCUUAUGCCAAACAGAAGGCUCU